GCUUCAAUAUAUUCUGUGCGCUGGGUUUGUGCGCUGGCUUCAGCCUGGUGCACUGAACCCACUGUUCAGUGUUGAGGAGUUUUUCCAUCAUCAUCACUAAAUCUUCCAUCACAGGCGUCAAUAUAAUUAUUGAUCAAGAUCUAGAUGAAAAUUAUCAGUUGUAUGAGAUUAUUAGAUCGUAAGGGAUAAAAGUCUGAUUUGUUUUGAUCGAUUUUGAUAAUAAUUUCAUGAAAACUGCGCCUCGAAUCUGCACGGUGAAGUGAUCGUUCAGUCCCACCUUGUCCUGUUCGCGUUUGCUGUUUUCUUAGUUGGAACGAUUUAUAAAGCAGGUCGACAAACAUGGCCCUUGGAUUUUUGGUUGGAUUUGCAUCAGGAACUGUGUUUGGUGUAUAUCUCUCCCAGCAUUAUGAUAUUCCAGAUAUAGGCAACCUUUUGACAUCAUUCAAAGAAACUGCCAAGAAAUAUGAGAAGAAGGAUGACAAGAAGGAGUCAUGAUGGUAACAUCCAGAUUCCAGGCUACAUGUAAUUGUAAUAAGGAGAGAUCCGUGGGACCUGCUUUCAUCACUCAUGGGCCACUCUGAAAGACAAUUAUUCUUGUAAUUCCAAUCGAAAAAAAAGUUGAAUAUCUAUAUUCGGAAUGUAUCAAUUUCCAUUCCUGCCCCUGCUUCACCAAACUUUUUUUCAUGAGCAAGGCUCCAUAACAUAAAGGUUUGCGAUCAGUUUUCAAAUAAUGAUUCUGAUUGGUUGAUAGUGGCAUGGGUCCUGGAUUGGUUUUUAAGGGGACUGACCAUACAAAAAAAAAAAAACAAUUAGAUGGUAAUUUUCCAUUUUUAACACUUUUAUUAAAAGAAACUGAACCCCCCCCACCCUUGUUCUGCGGCCCCGAAAUGUAAAUUUUAAGCAAUAUGCAAAUGCAACAAUGAUAUUCAUGGGCUACAGUCCUUUUGCAGUCCUUUUUAUUACCAAAUUCAUGCCAAGGGUCUAAGAUCAAACCACAUCCAUUGUUGAAUUUGAUUAGAAACGAGCAUGGAGAUUUUGUAAGGACAAUAUCAUAGUGGUCUCUAAACUUUUAUGGAACAGAGACUAGAACUUUCCAUCAAUUAUAUAUACUUCAUUUAAUUGCAAUAGUAAUUGUAGUUUUGUAAAAUGAGGAUAAUCGUUUUCAAAAUAUAAUCUUCUUGGUAUGCCUUAAGACCAUUCUGUUUUGUGAAAAUUGUAAGAGUUUAAAACCAAUUCUUUUGAUUUAUUUUUCAUUGUGGGAAAAGAGUGAAAAUGUUAAGUGGUGAAAACAUGAGUUGUGAAGAUUGCGUUGUAACAAUAAGCCAACACUCUAUAUUAUAGAGUUCAAAUCUCAAGUUGGAAAAUUUAAAAACCAGGGGGUGAUGUAUGUUUUCUCUAUUCUCUCACUUCAACUUUCUCCCAUGUAUAUACUUAUCAAAUAUACUUUCUUGUAGAAAGGCAUUGCUGUCAAGAUUGUGUGUGCCUGAGUUAGAUGUCAUAUUGAUUUGUACAUAUUGAUAAGAUGCAAAAUAUAUGAGUAGUAUAUCCUGUUCAAAUUGUGCAUUAAGAGCACCGCUUGAUUUGAUCAUGUGCUGUACCAUACAUAGAUUACUUCAUUUACAUGUACACCUGUCAUUGAUGUAUGUCUUAUUAUCGUGCAUUUUUACUUCAAAGCUUCCCUGUCUUAUGAGGACAGAAUGAUGUUAAUAAAUGAUCUGAAUUUUUUACAUCAUCUGUGACCCGUUCUCAUCUAUUUGCUUAUACCAGUUUAGUCUUGGUCCUCCAAAUCAGAGAUCUUCUGAACUGGUUUAAAGGAAACCAGUUCAAGAAAGUAGAUGAGAACAGGGUCUUAAUUUCUUAAGGUUAUUAAAGGACAAGUCCACCCCAACAAAAAGAUGAUUUGAAUAGAAAGAGAAAAUUCAAACAAGCAUAACCCUGAAAAUUUCAUCAAAAUAGGAUCUAAAAUAAGAAAGCUAUGACAUUUUAAAGUUUCGUUAAAUUUCACAAAACAGUUAUAUGCACAUCCUGGUCAGUAUGCAAAUGAGGGGACCGAUGACAUCACCCACUCACUAUUUCUUUUGUAUUUUGUUAUAUGAAAUAUUUGAAUUUUCUCCUCAUUGUCAUGUGAAACAAAGUUUCAUUCCUCCCUGAACAUGUGGAAUUCAAUUGUUUUAACAUUUUGUGGUUCAAACAAGAGGGCCCUAAUUGUUGAAUCCAUAAAAAUUGAAAUGUUGUAUCAUUCAAACAUUCAAGAACAAAGAAAUAGUGAGUGAGUGACAUUAUCGACUCUCUCAUUUGCAUAUCACUGAGUUGAGCAUAGAACUGUUUUGAGAAAAAUAAGCGAAACUUUAAAUUGUCAUAACUUUCUUAUUUUCCAUCCGAUUUAAAUGAAAUUUUCUGCAUUAUUCUUAUUUGAUUUUUCUAAAUUGAUUCAAAUCAACUUUUUUCUGGGGUGGAUUUGCCCUUUAAUAACUGCCUGAAUAAAACAGGUUAAAAUUAGAUUUCACCAUUUACUUUUAAAAGGAAAUGUCCACCCUUAUUUAAAUUCAUGAAAUAGAUUUUCUGAAAUAACAUGAAUUAUAGUUGGACUCCUUAAACAUGUAAAUCUUCAUAAUUGUAACUUACUGUGAUUCAAUGAGAAGAUUUUUUUUAUUAGCAAGUCUAUAAUAAAUGCCGAGUGUGUGAUGUUGCCAGCUCCCUCAAUUGUAUACCACCCAUGUCUUGUGCUUUACUAAGUGAAACUGAUUUUCCAUCUGAUUUUUAUAUAAAUAUUUUGGGUUAUACCAGUAUAAUUUUUCUCUAUUUUUGUUCAAAUCAACUUAUAGUUGGGGUAGACUUAGCCUGCCUUUAAGUUCAAAUUCAGUAUGUUUACAAAUUUAAACAAUAUCAUGUAAAACACAUCAUGCUUUAGUUAUUAUGAGAUCUUUCAGAUCAACUCAACAUGAUAUUAAUGUUAUCCUUCAUUAUCAUUCAAUAUCAAUUUAUUGUAUCUUCCUUGGGAAAAUAUCACUAUUUUUGUAUUAAAUGUUAUGUUUGUGUAUGUAUUUCCAUAUCUUUGAUAUUUGUGUACAUGCAAUGGAAAUUAAAUGAUGAUUUUACACUGAGCUGACUAAUUA